UACGUAGGUGGCAAGCGUUAUCCGGAAUUAUUGGGCGUAAAGCGAGCGUAGGCGGUUUUUAAAGUCUGCUGUGAAAGACCACGGCUCAACCGUGGAAGGGCAUUGGAAACUGGAAAACUUGAGUGCAGAAGAGGAAAGUGGAAUUCCAGGUGUAGCGGCGAAAUGCGCAGAGAUAUGGAGGAACACCAGUGGCGAAGGCGACUUUCUGGUCUGUAACUGACGCUGAUGUGCGAAAGCGUGGGGAUCAAACAGG
rnacentral:rRNA from 1 species